CCCUUAGAUGUCCUGGGCUGCACGCGCGCUACACUGAUGUGUCCAGUAAGCACCUAACCUAUUCCGAGAGGAGCGGGUAACCUUAGCAAAGCACAUCGUGAUGGGGAUAGAUUAUUGCAAUUAUUAGUCUUGAACGAGGAAUUCCUAGUAAGCACAAGUCAUCAGCUUGUGUUGAUUACGUCCCUGCCCUUUGUACACACCGCCCGUCGCUCCUACCGAUUGAAUGUUCCGGUGAGCUCUUCGGACUGCGCGGUCUGCAGUUUCUGCGUUCCGUGCGGAAAGCUGUGCAAACCUUAACAUUUAGAGGAAGGAGAAGUCGUAACA
rnacentral:rRNA from 1 species